UACGAAGGGGGCUAGCGUUGCUCGGAAUCACUGGGCGUAAAGCGCACGUAGGCGGACUCUUAAGUCGGUGGUGAAAUCCUGGAGCUCAACUCCAGAACUGCCUUCGAUACUGAGAGUCUCGAGUCCGGGAGAGGUGGGUGGAACUGCGAGUGUAGAGGUGAAAUUCGUAGAUAUUCGCAAGAACACCAGUGGCGAAGGCGGCUUACUGGUCCGGUUCUGACGCUGAGGCGCGAAAGCGUGGGGAGCAAACAGG
rnacentral:rRNA from 1 species